rnacentral:rRNA from 1 species
CUUUCUCCGCCGGCGACCGGCGCACGGGUGAGUAACACGUAUGCAACCUGCCCCUGUCAGGGGGACAACCCGCCGAAAGGCGGGCUAAACCCGCGUACAUGCCACCGGGGCAUCCCGGAGGCAGGAAAGGCCUUCGGCCCGGACAGGGAUGGGCAUGCGGCGCAUUAGGCAGUAGGCGGGGUAACGGCCCACCUAACCGACGAUGCGUAGGGGUUCUGAGAGGAAGGUCCCCCACACUGGUACUGAGACACGGACCAGACUACCUACGGAAGGCAGCAG